rnacentral:rRNA from 1 species
GACGAACGCUGGCGGCGUGCCUAAUACAUGCAAGUCGAGCGAAGUUUUUCUGGUGCUUGCACCGGAAAAACUUAGCGGCGAACGGGUGAGUAACACGUAAAGAACCUGCCUCAUAGACUGGGACAACUAUUGGAAACGAUAGCUAAUACCGGAUAACAGCAUUAACUGCAUGGUUGAUGUUUGAAAGUUGGUUUUGCUAACGCUAUGAGAUGGCUUUGCGGUGCAUUAGCUAGUUGGUGGGGUAAAGGCCUACCAAGGCGACGAUGCAUAGCCGACCUGAGAGGGUGAUCGGCCACACUGGGACUGAGACACGGCCCAGACUCCUACGGGAGGCAGCAGUAGGGAAUCUUCCGCGAUGGGCGAAAGCCUGACGGAGCAACGCCGCGUGAGUGAAGAAGGAUUUCGGUUCGUAAAGCUCUGUUGUUAGGGAAGAAUGAUUGUGUAGUAACUAUACACA